AAACUAGAUCUUGAGAGAAGGGCAGCGAGGGGCCAGCGGAAAUCUAGCCCAGGAGAUGGAGGUGUGAAGACACAGAGUGAAUGAACCGCGAGCCGAGGCAGGGCCCCUUGUGAGGAGAACAAAGGACAGAGGGCGUGGUGCAGCAAGGCCUGGCAGAGAAGAGGACUAUCUUCCUUCCCAGCCAUUCACCAGAGAAACAUCAAAGCUAUCAUGAGGUAAACAGCUUCCUCUGCACAUGCUCCCAUCAUCAUGUGCUGCCUCACCACAGGCCCCAAAACAACAGGACCAACUGACCAUGGACUGAACCUCUGACACUCUUCUACAGCUGCCCACAUUCCUUGGCAUGUGAUCUCUUUCUCCACUUUUAAAGUCAGA
ensembl:lncRNA